UUGGAGGGCAAGUCUGGUGCCAGCAGCCGCGGUAAUUCCAGCUCCAAUAGCGUAUAUUAAAGUUGUUGCAGUUAAAAAGCUCGUAGUUGAAUUUCGGGGUUAGUAGGUUGGUCAUGCCUCCGGUAUGUACUGAUCUCACUGAUUCCUCCUUCCUUAUGAACCGUAAUGCCAUUAAUUUGGUGUUGCGGGGAAUUUGGACUGUUACUUUGAAAAAAUUAGAGUGUUUAAAGCAAGCUAACGCUUGAAUACGUUAGCAUGGAAUAAUGAAAUAGGACGUUCGAUCUUAUUUUGUUGGUUUCUAGGAUUGACGUAAUGAUUAAUAGGGAUAGUUGGGGGCAUUAGUAUUCAAUUGUCAGAGGUGAAAUUCUUGGAUUUAUUGAAGACUAACUACUGCGAAAGCAUUUGCCAAGGAUGUUUUCAUUAAUCAAGAACGAAAGUUAGGGGAUCGAAGACGAUCAGAUACCGUCGUAGUCUUAACCAUAAACUAUGCCGACUAGGGAUCGGAUGAUGUUAAUUUUUUAAUGACUCAUUCGGCGCCUUACGGGAAAC
rnacentral:rRNA from 1 species